CUUUAUUUUAUUCCACACUGUAUGGAUGGAGACGGAGCAACUAAGCCUCAUGCUCUCCAAUUUCUGAUCAAUAAUAUUUCAUGGCCUUUCAGGAUGAAGUAGACUCCGCAGCUGGUUUCUCGGAGACGUGACAGAUAAGGAAGAGAAGCGGACAGAUGGCUUUAAGGCAGAUGCCUGCCUGGGAAGACGUGGUCUGCAGAGAACGCGUCAGAUCUUAUCAUUUCACGACAGCACGAUCGUUCGUUAUGGGGGCGAAAGGGAGAGGAUGUACUGGUCUGAAUCUUUUGCUCUGUCGCUCGGAGGACAGAGGCAGGAAGCCUGUAGCCGGGAUAGCUGUGGUGUAGACAGGGAUGCUACCCCUGCCCACCCGCCCUAGACAUUAGUCUACCCUCUUUGCCGCCCCUACUCUCCCCAGAGCUGCUCUUAGACCCGUGUUAGCCUCGGGCUUGGAACCAGGGAGUUCGUCUGGUUGGGAAGGAAGCCUAGAAACUAUGGAAACCACUACUGUUUCAAAACCAGGUGGAGUGUGCAAGGCCCUGUACUGAACAGGCACCUGGGAGGAACCGGACGGACAGGUUCGUGGGGGCGAGCAGGCUUCCAAGCCAAGGAUGGAGAGAUGGCAAGACAAUCCGGAGCUCAGUUCGGCUGCGUCCUCACUCCCGUGGAGGAGUCCCAUUUCAGGCGACCACUGCUCUUGCAGCUGUGACAAGGGCCCCCAUCCCAGAGCUAAUCGUUCAGGCAUUAGUGUAAGUGUUUAUCCUUCUGGAACAUUCUCCAUCGCUUUGCUCUGGACAAGGCUUCAUGGUAGGUCUCCUCCUACCUUUUACCCCUGUGGGUGGCCCUGGCCAGCCCGUGGACCUUACCUGAAGGCCCAGCUGGUGGGUCAUCCUGCUGGAAGCUGUCAGGGCUUCCCUGGGCUGGCCCUUAACCCCCCACACCCCUACCCCCCAUCUCCUUUCCUACCUCCCCUCCAGGUGCCUUGCCUCUCAUUCAUCAUUACGAGAGGAGGUGCGUUGCUUCCAAAAAGGUCACGUCUCAUGAGGGAGGACAGAGGAUCCCUCCUGCCCAUAGUGUUAUCAUCUUUGUCACAAAGAUCUGAACUCAGAUGAGAAACGGGUGCUGCUCGCCAGGGGCAGCGGCUGUGGGGUCAGCCCUGGGCUCUCGGGCGGCCGGGCUCUCUAACCUCAGCCCGGGGGGGUUAUCCCACAGGCUCGUGUUGGCCACCGCGAAUGGAAAGCAGGCCUGGGUCAGGUUUCUCAAAGCAGGAAAGACCCACGCGGGCCCCCCGGGAAGCAGCACGCAGGACUCGGGGUGAGCCCAGCAGUCUGCACUUCCCCAAGCUCUGCGGGUGUCCAGGGGGCACAUCACGCCGGAGACAGCUCUGUCCUGCGGCCCUUGCCCGACGUGGGCUUGUCAUGGGAAUGAUUUUCAGUGGUGACGUGCCCCCAGCCAGAAGCACACGGGCGGGCAUGGCCCCCAGAGCCAGGAAGGGGUGACAGCCCGGGCCCCCAAGAGAAGGGCCGCACGGUCCUUCCAGCAACCGGAGACGUGAGGGAGCCCAGGGCUUAGUCCUCUGCAGUCCCUCUUAGUCGCGUGGGUCCUUCAAGCUAGAGCUACGUAUGGAGGUGCCAGGGGGCUCAGGUCAUGACCCUGGGGUCCUGGGGUUGGAGCCCCUUGGGCCGCCUGCUGCCGCCUUGCCACUGCCUCCCCUAACUCACCUGUGCUCACCUGUGCUUGCUCGCUCUCUGGCUCUCUCAAAUAAACAAAAUCUUUAAAAGAAAGAAAAAGAAAGA
rnacentral:lncRNA from 12 species